UAAACGUGAUGAUGCCUCAGAAUGGUUUUCGCUUUCUAAAACUGAUCUCUUUUGAAGCCACGAUUCUCUUGGCUAUCUGAUUCG
ensembl:snoRNA